UACGUAGGUGGCAAGCGUUGUCCGGAAUUAUUGGGCGUAAAGCGCGCGCAGGCGGUUUCUUAAGUCUGAUGUGAAAGCCCCCGGCUCAACCGGGGAGGGUCAUUGGAAGCUGGGAAACUUGAGUGCAGAAGAGGAAAGUGGAAUUCCAAGUGUAGCGGUGAAAUGCGUAGAGAUUUGGAGGAACACCAGUGGCGAAGGCGACUUUCUGGUCUGUAACUGACGCUGAGGCGCGAAAGCGUGGGGAGCAAACAGG
rnacentral:rRNA from 1 species